rnacentral:rRNA from 1 species
CCUACGGGAGGCAGCAGUGAGGAAUAUUGGUCAAUGGGCUUACGCCUGAACCAGCCAAGUCGCGUGAGGGAAGACUGCCCUAUGGGUUGUAAACCUCUUUUGUCAGGGAGCAACGCCGGCUACGUGUAGCCGGACUGAGAGUACCUGAAGAAAAAGCAUCGGCUAACUCCGUGCCAGCAGCCGCGGUAAUACGGAGGAUGCGAGCGUUAUACGGAUUUAUUGGGUUUAAAGGGUGCGUAGGCGGAAUGCCAAGUCAGCGGUAAAAUCGCGGGGCUCAACCUCGCUCCGCCGUUGAAACUGGCGGUCUUGAGUGGGCGAGAGGUAUGCGGAAUGCGUGGUGUAGCGGUGAAAUGCAUAGAUAUCGCGCAGAACUCCGAUUGCGAAGGCAGCAUACCGGCGCCCAACUGACGCUGAAGCACGAAAGCGUGGGUAUCGAACAGGAUUAGAUACCCGUGUAGUC